rnacentral:rRNA from 1 species
CCUACGGGCGGUAGCAGUGGGGGAUAUUGCACAAUGGGGGAAACCCUGAUGCAGCGCCGCCGCGUGAGUGAAGAAGUAUUUCGGUAUGUAAAGCUCUAUCAGCGGGGAAGAAAAUGACGGUACCUGCCCAAGAAGCCCCGGCAAACCACGUGCCAGCAGCCGCGGUAAUACGUAGGGGCAAGCGUUAUCCGGGAUUACGGGGUGUAAAGGGAGCGUAGACGGUUAUGUAAGUCUGGAGGGAAAGCCCGGGGCCCAACCCCGGGACUGCUUUGGAAACUGUGUAACUGGAGUACAGGAGGGGCAGGCGGAAUGCCUGGUGUAGCGGUGAAAUGCGUAGAUAUCAGGAGGAACACCGGCGGCGAAGGCAGCCUGCUGGACUGAAACUGACGUUGAGGCUCGAAAGCGUGGGGAGCAAACAGGAUUAGAUACCCUUGUAGUC